GCGCACAUUUCAAUCGAUGGUUCCCUUCGGGGAUCAAAAGGGAAGCCGGUGCGCGCAGAAUUGCGCAAUGCCGGGGCUGCCCCCGCAACUGUAAGCGGUGAGUCUUAGGGCCAUGAAGCCACUGGGGUGCAUCCCUGGGAAGGCGGUCCAAGACGGUGACCCGCGAGCCAGGAGACCUGCCAUCAUUCGUGGUCACGC
rnacentral:ncRNA from 2 species